AACGAACGCUGGCGGCAGGCUUAACACAUGCAAGUCGAACGCCCCGCAAGGGGAGUGGCAGACGGGUGAGUAACGCGUGGGAACAUACCCUUUUCUACGGAAUAGCUCUGGGAAACUGGAAUUAAUACCGUAUACGCCCUACGGGGGAAAGAUUUAUCGGGGAAGGAUUGGCCCGCGUUGGAUUAGCUAGUUGGUGGGGUAAAGGCCUACCAAGGCGACGAUCCAUAGCUGGCCUGAGAGGAUGAUCAGCCACAUUGGGACUGAGACACGGCCCAAACUCCUACGGGAGGCAGCAGUGGGGAAUAUUGGACAAUGGGCGCAAGCCUGAUCCAGCCAUGCCGCGUGAGUGAUGAAGGCCUUAGGGUUGUAAAGCUCUUUCACCGAUGAAGAUAAUGACGGUAGUCGGAGAAGAAGCCCCGGCUAACUUCGUG
rnacentral:rRNA from 1 species